CAUGGGCCAGAUCCAGCUUUCCAAACACAAAAGCAGCACAUUUCAAAAAGCCAAAGAACUGCAUCGAGACAUUUCUAUCAGCUGUCACACUGCCAAGCAACAACAUCAGAGCACUGUAUAUUUAACCACUUUAUUGAAGACAAGUGAAAGGCAGCUUCCCCUUGUAACUCUGGAUAAUUAUGAUCUGAAUCACUCCGAAAUUAAAACAUAUCAGCCAAUCCUUUUAUCUCACAGAGAGGAUAAAGCAGAUAACAAGCUACCCAGGGAAGGCACAGCAGCAAAUCUCCGAGACCAGCCUCCGCUCAUCUGCGAGGCUCCAGCACAUGCAGGUGGGUUUGUAUUGGGGCGUUAUGGACAGGGCUCAGCCCUCAUCAGCUCACAUCCCUCAGCACUGACCCACGAGAUCCAACGACAACCACCGCAAUUCAGCUCAGCACAGCUUCAAGCAAGGCAGCGGUUACAAUGCUAAAUCCACCAACAAGCAGCAUUUCUGCUCUCUAGCAGUCACUCACCAACUAAACCAGAACUGAAGUCACUUUUGCUAUGCAACCCCCCACAAUCCUUCCUUGCGCGGCCCUAAACUCAGCACCUACGCCACGCAGACUCCAUCCCCCCUUCCGUCCAGCAAAGCGGCAGGGAAGGACCCAUCAGCCCGUACCAGCGCUGUCGUAAUAGCGCCGCACUUUACGACCUCGCCGCGCUUUACGGCGUCGCCGCAAAGCAGGGACGGAAGCGGCCGGCGGGAGGUUGCCGGGGAGCUCAGGCCGCCAUGGACCGGAAGAAGAAGCCGCUGGACGUGGCCGCCUCCUCGUUGGUAGAUCUCAAAGCAGAGCUCUUCCGCAAACAA